AUUAUAUUUGACGACCGGUCUGGCCUAGUGGGUAGUGACCCUGCCUAUGAAGCCGAUGGUCCCGGGUUCAAAUCCUGGUAAGGGCAUUUAUUCGUGUGAUGAGCAAUGGAUAUUUGUUCCUGAGUCAUGGGUGUUUUCUAUGUAUUUAUAAAUAUUUAUAUAUUAUAUAUAUCGUUGUCUAGCCUUAUUGAGCUUACUGUGGGACUCAGUCAAUUUGUGUAAUAAUGUCCUAUAA